rnacentral:lncRNA from 1 species
GGCUGUUGGAUGUCUACUGAUUGAUAAUUUAGUCUUAAAUGCAUUAUCAUUUUUAUUAGUUGUUAGUGGCUUUGAAUUAGCUGUCAGUAACUGCGAGUACUCUCAGAUGUGUACUAAGUGUCUUUUUGUUGUUGGGAUGUACAAGUACCCGGCCACGUCAACUCUGUGUUGUAUUUGUAUCCAUCUGAUGAGUUACGCCUUUUCCAACUGGUUCUUAUAGUUCGUUCAUCUGUUGUACUGUUAUACCACUGUCCCAGGUUAGGGAAGGGUUGGUAUCCCGCUAACAUGUUUAAUCCCGCCACUUUCUGUAUGUAUACAUGUGCCUGUUCCAAGUCAAGAACCUGCAAUUGAGGGGUUGUCGUUUGUUUUUCUGUUAUAUAUUUGUUUUUCGUUCAUUAUGUUGUACAUAAAUUAGGCCGUUAGUUGUCUCAUUGGCAUUUAUCCCACAUCUUUUUUUUUAAUCUAUAUAAUUGAAAUUUCUUUUUUUAUUUUCUUUUUUUUUCUUUUUUUUUUUUUAGAUGCAACUCAUCUCAGUUUGUUCGGUAACAUUCGAAAAGUUAUGUCGUUCAGUUCGAUAAAUUUGAUUCAAGUAAUUAUAUAUUCUUUGUUUGAGGAGUAAACCAUGUCAUCUUUUUUGCAGUAUCAAUAUUUGAAUAUUAAAAGAAAAGUUGAUCAAAAUAAACAUUUGAGGCUUAAGUGGCUGAAUAGAAUUAAUUAUCAAACAAAUAUUUCAUUAAUUUAAAUUGAUGUUGUCAGUAUCGUUUAAUCAACAAUUGUGGGUCACGCGUUAGAUCUUGUCGUUUAUUUCCAAUCCAAUAGGACCAGUAUGAUACAAAUGAUCGUGAAGACAAAUUUUACAAAAUAACAGACGGUUCACAAGGCAGUGGCGUAGCAAAGCCAUUUCUACGUGUACGUCCGAACCUCGACAAGGGUCUGGGGCCUCUUGGUGGGUUUGAUGGGACGAAUCCCAGAGUAAGUUAACGAGUUAUAGAGAUUAAUAUAUCAUUUCUGUCAUUGAGAACUCAAUAGCAACAUAUAUAUGUUCAUACUUUUCAGUCUGCAUGAAGGGUUCCAUUGAACCAUGAGUUUUGUUGCUUUCAGUGUAAAAGCGUACUGUUGACUGCAUAAAACGAAUCCCAUUUAUUAGUCAAAUAAAGGAUAAAAAA